rnacentral:lncRNA from 1 species
UUUUGCAUCAUAUAUUUCCAUACAUAUCACAUCACCAUGCAGUUGAGGCAACAAAAGCUAUCAAACCAUUGUUGGGAGAAUACUAUAAAUUUGAUGAUACACCAAUUUUAAAGGCAAUGUGGAGGGAUAUAAAUGAGUGCAUCUUUGUGGAGAAAGAAAAGGAUAAGGGUAUUUAUUGGUACAAGAACAAGAUUUGAAACAACAAUUCCUACCUUAAAUGCUAAAUCUAAGUACGUGGUUCUACUAAUGUGUGCUUUUCUUGUAUUAUUGUACUAGUAAUGUUUGUUUUAGUUGUCACUACUGUAUUGUUAAAUCCGUUGUUAUGUAAUAAAAUAAGCAUCUAUCUUUGUGACAAUGAAUGAAUGAUUGAUGCCCUUAUCAGUUUAUUGGUCUUGUUCUUAUUUUUGAAUACUUUUGGAUGCCCUUAUCCGUGUGAUGCCUUGUUGAACUUGCAGUUGUUAGUGUAUGUAUUGUGUAUAAAAUAUGGUAUACAAAUUGAUAUACGUCUUACAAAAAUAAUUACAUCGCAUUAUAUACAAACAUAUAUUAGUACUGUAUGAGUUGUGUAUAAAAUAUGGCAUACAAAUGAAUUUAGGUAAUAAAAAAAAUGAAUAUGUUGUAGUGUAUAAAACAUGGUAAAUACAAACCGAUUUAUUUAAUUAAGUGAAUUCAAUUAAGUAAUAGAGUUUUGAAAAAACUAGAGAGAAAAUGAGGGUAUUUAUAAUAGAAAUUCGGAAUUUUCAAAGGAGAGGAUAUGAUGAGUAAAAAAGGUAGGAGCAAUGAGAGGUAGAACUCAAUCAAUAUGGAAUAUGUGGAGUGUCACUUGUAGAACUUAUUUUACGUACUUUCAUUAAGGAAGUUAUUGUCCUCAUUUUAAGCAACUUAUUUUUCUAGAGAAAAUAUUUUUUUUAAAGUUUGAUCAACUAAUUAUGAAAACAAAUUAGAAAAAAAUAGUUUUAUUCGUAUCGAACACAUAUAUGUGAUGAUUCAUUUACAUCUGAAUUUUCUUGGAGAGUGUUUUUUAGGCAUAAUACAUAAAUAUAUCUUUUAACUUGGCAUCAACUCACAUUUAUGCCCUCCAACUUUGAGUGUGCACAAGUGUAAUGAUCCGAAAGGUCAUUUUUGGAAAUCUUUGUAAAAUUUUCAUUUUACCCUUCUCGAUAGUUGCCCUAGUUAUUUUUGAUCAGUUUGAAAAGUUGGUUAGAGAAUUUUGAAUUACUUGUUUAACUACGAUUAUUUAAUUAAGGGGUAAAUUUUAAAUAUUUAUAAUUUUAAUAAGUGGUUAAUGGGUCAAACUCAUAUUUUAUUUAAUACCCUUGACCCAUAUAAAAGAAUAAAUUAAUAGUAAAUUGAGAUUACACGUUUGAGUCAUAAACUCCAUAAAGACUUCUACGGUUGGGAGCGCAAAUACGCAGAGAGGAGACGAUUCCUCCCUAUAUGAUUUUUGGGUAAGAAACGCUAAUGAUAAACCUUAUUUAUACCAUGUUAAUCUCUUGCCAUUGUAUAUAAUAGUAAAUUGUUGGUUUGUAGGUAAUGUCAUAAAUUAUUAUAUAUGUGAGUAUUCCUUUAGGGUUAGGAGACAAGAAAUUGAGGAAGUCAUCAUUGAAUAAUGACAAACUAUUAAAGAGGUAUAUAAUAAUCAAGUUUGGAAGUAUUCUAUUGAUUUUAAAGAAUGAAUUUGUAAAGGACAAAGAGGUGUCACUGUAUGAUUUUAUAAUGUUAUUUAUCGUGGGUACUGCAAUUUUCUCUCUAUUAUAUUUAUCAAUUUUGAACUGAAAACAGGGAACAACGAGGUUAUGUAUUUAAUUAGUGAAAUUUUAUGGUGGGUUAUAAUCUUGUUUUUCUUAAAAUUAUUGUGGAAUAGGUGGAAUGUCACUUGUAGAACUCAUUUUACGUACUUCCAUUAAGGAAGUUAUUGUCCUCAUUUUAAGCAACUUAUUUUUCUAGAGAAAAUAUUUAAAAAAAAGUUUGAUCAACUAAUUAUGAAAAAAAAAUAGAAAAAUAUAUUUUUAUUCGUACCAAACACAUAUAUGUGAUGCUUCAUAUACAUCUGGAUUUUCUUGGAGUGUUUUUUAGGCAUAAUACAUAAAUAUAUCGUUUAACUUGGCAUCAACUCACAUUUAUGCCCUCCAACUUUGAGUGUGCACAAGUAGACACUUAAAAUUGUAUAAAAUUGAACAAAUAGACACACAUGUCUUAUGUGGCAACCUACAUGACAAUUUUCAUCCUACGUGGUGUCCUAUGUGUAUUAUGUCACAUAUAUGACUCAUGUGUCUACUUGUUUAAUUUUAUACAAGUUAAAAUAUUUAUUUGCACACACCCAAAGUUGGAGGACAUAAAUGUAAAAUGCGACCAAAUUAAAAGACACAUUAAUGUAAUAUGCUUUUUUUUUUGGGAUCCUUCCAAUCUUGAAUGACAUAUCUAACACAUGUUGCUAUUGACAAAUAGAGUUAGGUUACGUUAACUUAAUGAGUAAACAUCAAAAUGAAAAGUCAAGUGAAAGAUACACAUUUGUGUGUUGUAUCUUUCAUUUGAGAUACAACUAUAACAUAAUUUCCAUUCAUAGAUAUCUUUCUUGACUCUUCUCAUUUGUUUUUAUCUAUGAUAAGGAGUCACUGAUAGAGAGAUUAACAUCAAAUUGUAAUCAGACUUUAAGUUUUGUGUGUUGUUGUUUUCUUUUGAUAUUUCCAUGAUAUUUUUCUUUAGGAAUGGAUACAUAUAUAACUUUACGUACAAAAGUCCAAAUUUAAUAAUUUGAAGCAUCGUCGAAAGCUUGACUUUUAAAAUCUUUCAUGUGAUAAUUAGUAAUUUACCACAUAACUCUUUACAUCUUAUGAAUAUGUAUUUUUAGCGAUAAUUAACAUUUUUUGUAUAUGUCUCUAAAGUCUUUAGCGAUAUUGGAUUCAAUGGCAAUAAAUUAAUGUUGAUAAAGGCUUUAACACUCUUUGUUAAUGUGUAUAUUUAUUACUGCUAAAAGUUAUUGUUAUUGUAGUGUUGGUUCAAGGGUUUUUCUUAGACCUUACAUCACUUUCAAAACACCCCUACGUGCACUUAUUAAAAUAUUACUUUGUAACAAAACUUUACACAAGACUUUGGUUUGCCUAUAGCCAACAAAAUAGGACUAUUUGAGUGGAUAUAAUUAACAAUAUUGUGCUUGACAAUUAUGUACGUUCACUUAAAAUGAAAAUUCAAAGCAAAAGGAUAUAUUUAUGUGUCGUAGCAUUCAUAUGAAAUUUCCAUGUAAGAUUCGUGCAAGGACUUUAGAAAACAAUAACAUUUCCAUUUCUUUUUUCAUAGUUGCCUUUUUUGACUUUAAUGAAUUACUAGUGAAUUUAUCCAUCCACAAAAAUAUUACCCCUCAACUUUAAGAUUUACAGCGAAUACACACUUUAUUAAAAAAAGUGGUGAAAUGCAUAUUUUAUCCUUUUUUUUAAUAAACUGAUUAUUAAACCUAAGUACGUGGUUCUACUAAUGUGUGAUUUUCUUGUAUUAUUGUACUACAAAUGUUUGUUUUAGUUGUCACUACUGUAUUGUUAAAUCCGUUGUUAUGUAAUAAAAUAAACAUCUAUCUUUGUGACAAUCAAUUUGGUGUGAAUGAAUGAUUGAUGCCCUUAUCAGUUU